GCUCACUUCGGUUGUACAUGUGCUACAAUUGGAAUAAGACAGACAAUACUAGCAGGCCCCCUGUCCAAAGAUGACAUGUAGAUUUGGAUUUGUGACACAAUCUCUAUUUUU
ensembl:snRNA U6 U6 spliceosomal RNA